CCCCACCGUUGCUGCUACCUUGACGUGGUGGUCGAGCUUGCCUAUCGUGAUGAACCAAUCGAGAUAUACUGGCUAGAACAAUCGUUCCUCAAGGUCCUACCAUGCUAGACAGGUCUGUUGAAGAGCGGUAAGACUAAAAGCAGC
rnacentral:ribozyme from 1 species